GAGGAAUAUUGGUCAAUGGGCGAGAGCCUGAACCAGCCAAGUAGCGUGAAGGAUGAAGGCUCUAUGGGUCGUAAACUUCUUUUAUAUGGGAAUAAAGUUUUCCACGUGUGGAAUUUUGUAUGUACCAUAUGAAUAAGGAUCGGCUAACUCCGUGCCAGCAGCCGCGGUAAUACGGAGGAUCCGAGCGUUAUCCGGAUUUAUUGGGUUUAAAGGGAGCGUAGGUGGAUUGUUAAGUCAGUUGUGAAAGUUUGCGGCUCAACCGUAAAAUUGCAGUUGAAACUGGGAGUCUUGAGUACAGUAGAGGUGGGCGGAAUUCGUGGUGUAGCGGUGAAAUGCUUAGAUAUCACGAAGAACUCCGAUUGCGAAGGCAGCUCACUAGACUGUCACUGACACUGAUGCUCGAAAGUGUGGGUAUCAAAC
rnacentral:rRNA from 1 species